rnacentral:SRP_RNA from 1 species
GGGUAAGUCUUUCACGACCAGCUCCUGUUGAAUCCCCCAGGUCGGGAACGAAGCAAGGGUAUACGGUUGAGCGGUGCGAUGAAAGUAGCUUACCCUUU